UUUCCGUAGGUGAACCUGCGGAAGGAUCAUUAACACUUAUUAUCCAAUAUCAAAAUUAAAACCAAACGGUCACUUAUCUCCUCCCUACUUGUCUCACCGGAGACGGUACAAGUAGGCUAACAUUUUUUUAAUUUUUAACCCCAUUAAAAAAUCAACUCUUCGAUUUGCUACUUUUGUUUUGUCUAAACAACGAGCCUAAGUAACAGAACGAACUAAACUAGAAUAUACAUUGAUUAUAUUUUUCUUUUACGAAAUAAUAUAUAUUUAUUAAGAACAACUCUUAGCAAUGGAUAUCUUGGUUCUCGCAUCGUGAAGAACGCAGC
rnacentral:misc_RNA from 1 species